UACGUAGGGGCGAGCGUUAUCCGGAAUUAUUGGGCGUAAACAGUGCGUAGGUGGUUACCUAAGCGCAAGGUUUAAGCUUGAGGCUCAACCUCAUUUUGCCUUGCGAACUGGGCUACUUGAGUGCAGGAGGGGAAAGCGGAAUUCCUAGUGUAGCGGUGAAAUGCGUAGAUAUUAGGAAGAACACCAGUGGCGAAGGCGGCUUUCUGGACUGUAACUGACACUGAGGCACGAAAGCGUGGGGAGCAAACAGGAUUAGAUACCCCGGUAGUCCCUGAGCGGG
rnacentral:rRNA from 1 species